rnacentral:rRNA from 1 species
AGCGAACGCUGGCGGCAGGCCUAACACAUGCAAGUCGAGCGCCCGUAGCAAUACGGGAGCGGCAGACGGGUGAGUAACACGUGGGAACGUGCCCUUUGGUUCGGAAUAACUCAGGGAAAC